rnacentral:lncRNA from 1 species
UCUUGGAGAAGUCAAGGCACCAAAGAUGCACUGGGAGACCCACCAUGUUGACCACCAAUCUUUCGCCGGUGAAACGAUGGCGGAGACACCCAUCAUGCUCCAUCCAAUUGUCUAGACGUAAAAAGUUCCCAUCAAACUAUCUGCUUCCUCUAACAAGAAUUUAUGAAGCUUGAGACUUGUCGAGAAAUCAAAAGAGAGAUUGUGUAUCCCCUAAUUGCGUUAUUUUCAGCUUGUCAUUGAUGUUCCAUGCAUCUAUUGCCCAAUUCCUAACCGCCUCUAGAGAACCAACCCAUUUGGAGAAAGAUUCAAUCAGACAAGAUUUCAAGAAACCCUUGCGCUUGAAAGUGUGCUCCCUAGACAGCAAGAAGUAUGGCUCCUGCCCUACGUCGAGCUUUCGAUUACGUCUUCCCUCAAGUUCUAGGGUUGGCCAAGAGGCAGCUUUGAUAAAAGACAUUUUUCCAGUCACAGGGAGAAGUAGGAGCUUCUCUUUGUAGAAUCCAUCAUAUUCUAAAAGCGGCUGCCCCAAAACCCUCGCCUAGAGGCUUCUUGAAAAAGAAAAACGAUUUGGCCGAAAAAAACCUCAAAAGAAAGUAUAUCAGUAAUCACUGUGGGUGAAAACAACAUAUAGGAAGGGAAGAAAUAUUUCCGGUGCUGAGCACAGGAAAACAGUCGCCGGAAUCUGGGAUAUAUUCGCCGGAAAAUAGAAAAAGUCAUCGGAAUUUGCUGAAACUAAGAUGGGAAGGCUCGGAAAAACAUGUAAAGAAGGUUGUGUGAAGAAAAGAUUUGAAAAGAUGCCGGAGUGAGCCACACGCGCCGGAGUGAGCCACACGCGCCGGAGUGAGCCACACGCGCCGGCGUGUGGCUGAAUCUCGCCGGAAAAAACAGUUCUGUUGCCCGCGCGUGGGGGCUUGGCUGCCAGAGAAACUACUAGGAUUUGGUUGCGGGAAGCUUGGCUCUCGAUGGGGGUGAUGGAGUCCAAGCAAGAAGGAAGAGAGAAGAGCCUCGGGGAAAGUGCCUGGGAGCAUUCUCAUCGUUAACACACAACCCAAUAAUUAAAGUUUCAUGCGGACAAAGCGUAUAUUGAAACUUGCAGUCGGCUAGGAGGACUUUCUCACUAUCUGGUGAAUGGUCUUCCCUAUCUGAAGUCAUUUUUACUGUCAUCUUUUAAACAACUAUCACCAAUCUGACUCACAGUCUAGACCCACAGCGUUUUACUUCCUUUUUUAUGUGACAACAAUUACACUCUUCAUUUCAUAAUAGAUGUAUUGGGCAUUAAUUUUACACGGCCCAAGAAGAGGAAUCGAUACAGUUCGUUGGAAAAUGGAGUUACCUACUCUCGGCAUCACUCAAAUUUGAGGCUCAGUUCACUCAAAUUUCAUUGGAAUCGAUGCAG